rnacentral:SRP_RNA from 1 species
UGGCGGGUAGGGCUGGGGGUCUCGCCCACCCCCAUACCCGAAAAGGGCGUAAUGCGGGGGCCAGUAACCAGGCAGCGCUAUACAUAGAUCCGCAGGAUCCUCUCCCCAGCUAUGAAGCCCGCCCUGUGGGGCUUGCGGUGGCGGGGGCCUCCUCGGAGGAGGAGGCUAAACCGCCUUCACGAGGGGAAACAGGCCAGGCCCGGAAGGGAGCAACCUAACCCUCGGCGCAAGCGUUCACAGGUCACCGGGGGGAGCGCGGGGGGAGGGUCGCCCCUGCGGAUCUAUGUAUAGCGCUGCCUGGAGCCGCCG